UGUGGAGCGUGAGGAGUUAAACGCCUUCAUGCCUGCAUAUUCGUGCACUUUGGGUGUACUUGCCCGUGUGUAAGUUAACAUCAAUUUUGGUGGUCAUAAAAUGGCUGGAGGAAUGUAGCUUCGAUCUUGUAUUGAAGUGUUAUAGCCUUCGGUAGAUGUGACGAUCGGGAUUGAGGAUUGCAACGGAUACCCUUCGGGGCUACCUGUCUGAUCUCUGAUUGUUGCUCUGGUGCCGAAAGCUUGCUUACGGUUAUCAAAGUCGAUGGUCAAUAGGUUAGAAUGGGUUAAA
rnacentral:rRNA from 1 species